UGCCAAAUAAAAUUUGGGAGGUGGAGGAAGAAACCUCAAACUUGGAACAUGAAUAAUUUAGUGGCGGCCCACAUAGAGUAACAUCUAAUUUUAUAUUAAAUUUUUAUGUUAAGCUAAUUAAUUAUUAAAGUUAUUAUAAAACCAAUUACAAUGCGAAGAGUACUUCAUCUUUGUAGACCUUAUCUAUUAUGUCGUGCAUUUUAAAAUUUAGAUCUAUAUAUUCUAUCACAGUUGAUAAUUACUUAUAUAGUUUCAUUUAUAUAUUAAUUUUUCCAUGAAUAGAUAAACUUACAAAUCGAUUAAUUUGUAACUUAAUUGCUUUUAAAUAUCAUUAUUUAUCCAUAUAUAUCAAACGGUGCAACCUUUGACUCCAUGUUAAUUUUAAAAUUCAAGAGAAGUAAGAACAAUUUUCUUUUCAACUAACUAACCUCAACGACAGAGUAAUCAUAACUAACUCUUUAGAUUCAAUGAACACAAACAAUUGAAAUCAUUAAAUUAAACAUAGUUAUAUAGCUAAUAGACAGCACAUAUUGACAAUGAAACACAUGCUCUCUAGUUAUUAUCUUGUGGAUACACAUAGCAAUAAGAGUGAUGUAAGAUUCAAGGAGAGUUAGUUCAUGUUUGCAUUGAUGGCAAGUUUCACAAAAAUUAAGGUUGUUUUAAGUGUGAAUUUUUCACUUUGUAUAUUCGAUCCAACCCUAUAAUUCUAUUUUUGAUUUCUACUAAGCAGAAUCACAUUUUGAUAUCAUUUUAUUAAAAUGUUUAGAAGAUACAAUAGAUCAAUACUUCAUAAAAAAAAAUGUCAGAUCUCCGUAUAAUAUCCAGAGUGUCAAAAAGACAAAACCAACAAAUAUUUCAUAAUCAUUAAAAAUGAAUAGUAUAUAUAAAAUAUUAUGUCUGUGUUUGGUAAUGCGGUGAAUCACCGCUGUCCCACGUUUUUAAAAUUAUUUCUACCUUGAAUUUGAGAAGUUCGUAAAUGUAUUUUUUUGCUCACCGAAGAUUUUCACCGUGAUUUCUUUCAUCAUCAAACAUAGACUUAACUAAUUCAUAGUCGAUGUCGAACUGAUCCGUGAUGGUUCAACAUGCACUUAUUGAUGAAGUGGUUUCUCUUUUGUAAAUGUGAAGAACACAAUAAAACAAUGGAAUCUCAUGAUGGACCCUACUUAGUUGAACAAACCGUUAAGUGGCCUUGUCUCAUCUAUGAAACAAACAACUUUAUUUUGACAUUAAGCAAUUUAGGCACCUCUAAUACUGAUGAAAAAUUUCUUAUAAAUCAAGGUUGAACAUUGAAGGACUCUAAUGGACUUUUGGCUUUUGGUUUGCAUACAAAACCUAAUCCUUAUUAACUGUCCAAAGACAACCUUGUCUAGGAGCAAACACUGUGACCCUUAACACUAAACAAAAUGUGACUAUUGUCUAAAAUAUCACUUUUGGAUUAUCC
rnacentral:lncRNA from 1 species